rnacentral:rRNA from 1 species
CCUGCCCAGUGACCACAAAUUUAACGGCCGCGGUAUUCUGACCGUGCGAAGGUAGCGCAAUCACUUGUCUUUUAAAUAAAGACCUGUAUGAACGGUUAAACGAGGGCUUAACUGUCUCCCAUCUCCAGUCAGUGAAAUUGAUCUAUCCGUGCAGAAGCGGGUAUAAUAAUACAAGACGAGAAGACCCUUUGGAGCUUAAGGUACAAAACUUAAUCACGUAAAGCAAUUCAAUAAAAAACAACCCUUUAAUCUCGUGACAAAUAAGACCAUACCUUCGGUUGGGGCAACCAUGGAGGAAAAAAAAGCCUCCAAGUGGACUGAGGCAAGCCACCUUAAAACCAAGAGAGACAUCUCUAAGCCACAGAACAUCUGACCAUAAAUGAUCCGAUCAACUAAGAUCGAUCAACGAACCAAGUUACCCAAGGGAUAACAGCGCAAUCCCCUCCAAGAGCCCAUAUCGACGAGGGGGUUUACGACCUCGAUGUUGGAUCAGGACAUCCUAAUGGCGCAACCGCUAUUAAGGGUUCGUUUGUUCAACGAUUAAAGUCCUACGUGAUCUGAG